rnacentral:tRNA from 1 species
GGAGAUGUGGCUCAGUGGUAGAGCACUGGCCUACAUGUUUCAGUCCCUGGGUUCAAUCCCCAGCAUUACAA